rnacentral:snRNA from 1 species
AUCACUUCUCGGCCUUUUGGCUAAGAUCAAGUGUAGUAUCUGUUCUUAUCAGUUUAAUAUAUGUUAACUCUUUCAACCACCAGGUUCCAGAUGACACCAU